GCUCCCUGAUGUUAGCGGCGGACGGGUGAGUAACACGUGGGUAACCUGCCUGUAAGACUGGGAUAACUCCGGGAAACCGGGGCUAAUACCGGAUGGUUGUUUGAACCGCAUGGUUCAGACAUAAAAGGUGGCUUCGGCUACCACUUACAGAUGGACCCGCGGCGCAUUAGCUAGUUGGUGAGGUAACGGCUCACCAAGGCGACGAUGCGUAGCCGACCUGAGAGGGUGAUCGGCCACACUGGGACUGAGACACGGCCCAGACUCCUACGGGAGGCAGCAGUAGGGAAUCUUCCGCAAUGGACGAAAGUCUGACGGAGCAACGCCGCGUGAGUGAUGAAGGUUUUCGGAUCGUAAAGCUCUGUUGUUAGGGAAGAACAAGUGCCGUUCAAAUAGGGCGGCACCUUGACGGUACCUAACCAGAAAGCCACGGCUAACUACGUGCCAGCAGCCGCGGUAAUACGUAGGUGGCAAGCGUUGUCCGGAAUUAUUGGGCGUAAAGGGCUCGCAGGCGGUUUCUUAAGUCUGAUGUGAAAGCCCCCGGCUCAACCGGGGAGGGUCAUUGGAAACUGGGGAACUUGAGUGCAGAAGAGGAGAGUGGAAUUCCACGUGUAGCGGUGAAAUGCGUAGAGAUGUGGAGGAACACCAGUGGCGAAGGCGACUCUCUGGUCUGUAACUGACGCUGAGGAGCGAAAGCGUGGGGAGCGAACAGGAUUAGAUACCCUGGUAGUCCACGCCGUAAACGAUGAGUGCUAAGUGUUAG
rnacentral:rRNA from 1 species